UGAAUGGUCAAGGUUAGGCAUUGACCUUGAAUGGUUAAGGUUAAGUAUUGAUCUUGAAUGGUCAAGGUUAGACAUUGACCUUGAAAGGUUAGGCUAGGACAGGUUGUCGGGCAGCGAGUCUCACAAGAGUUGUUUGCAAGAUUUCGCAAUUUGGGGGUUAUCUUCUAGACACGACCCUCAUAAAAGAAGCUAAUUGCUCCUCUAAGUGUAACCCGGUGUUAUUCAGUUUUUUAUCCCAUUACGAAAGAUGUCGGCUUUAAUCAAAAACCAUUUACGAGGCCAGCAGAACUAUACUGUCUUUUAACAGAUUUGGUUGGGUGCCUCCUCAUCUGAGAAUUGCUGCUAUUGGGCAAAAACAAGUCUGCAAAAAGGUAUGAAUAUUGUCUCAUCCACUCCUACUCCCACGGUAUGUUUCUGAAGCUGCACCAUUUGGGGUUAAACCGGUUUUAUUCACUAUAUAAACCAAACAUAUUUGCCCAUUAGGGCAUCACAGUGCUGGAUGGAGGUGGUGAGAAUGACUGUGAGCACAGUGGUGGUUCUGAUGGUUGUACUGGGAUUGAUGACGGUGGUUCAAAUGAUGGAAGUGAUUAUAGAUUCAAGGCCUUUGACACCCUGUCCUCUUUUCUGUUUUCAUUUGUCUGUGCAAAUGAAAACAUAUCUGGUACAAACUUUGACAUUCACUUAAAGCAUCUUUUUUGUUGUUGUUGUUUUUUUUGCUGGGAAUGGGUGUUCUGGAUUCACAUGAAAACUUUGUAGAGUUUGUACAAAAAAAAAACACAUUGCUUUUUGCUAGUUUUUGGGGAUAUUUUCCAUUUCUCAUGAAUAAUAAUGCAAAUUUUUUUUUUUUACUACUAGGCAAGUUUGGUUGAAAGCUGUGAAUAAUCAUUGAGCCACUUUGCUUUAGUUCUGGUUACCUGUUCAAAGAAGUCAAACCUUUAAUGAUGCCACCGACUCAGUGCCAUUUGACUUUUACGUCAGUGGAGUGGAAACAUCAGAGGUCAAGAUAAAAAAAAAAAAAAAGUAAAUUCAGUAUAUUUUUACUGCUUUUACUCACUGGAGCUGUUUUGGUUGCCAGGUAACAGCCUGGAUUUUCACUUUGCAACUGCUCGAGCCUCAAAUGACUUCCACAGUAGACGUUUGAUCCUAUUUUGCUGUGUCUCGACUACAUGAUUACUAUGAAAGAAAUGCCUACUGUGCAGCGGCUACAAUGCAAUAUUAUUUAAAGUUACAGAAACGCUGUCAAGCUCUGAUAGUUACCGUUUGGUUUGGCAGUUACGCCCCCCCUGCUGGAGGACUCUUUAUUUUUUAAUGCUCUACAUCAGUGGGUGCAAUUUAUUGUGAAGUUUUAGAGUUGUGGUGGAGGACUCUUACUGUGAAAGGCUUGAGAGUUAUCCAGUGCCGGGCACUCUUAUUGUGAAGUUUCCUGAAGUUAAAGUGGAAAAGUAGGAUGCUUUUUUCUCUGGUGACACACAGACAGUGUAGCAGUAGUUUGUUUUGGACUCGCUCACAUUAGAUUAAGUUCAGUUUUUGCCUGUUCAGGACUCGCUAACCUUUAUGCUUUUUACUGUAGAAGUGCCCACAUGUAAAAAAAAAAAAAAAAUGCCUUUCAGUGCACCAACAGAUACACACACACACACACACACACAGAUUGAUUCAGUGCGUCUCCUCGCUGUUUCAUGUAGCUUGCUCCUGUGGAAUGAUGUUGAGUCUCAAGCACAGCAACAGUUCCUCCGACUGUUACUGAAAACAUUUUUCUCAACAUGUUGAUUGUGUUUCUGGUUUCUUUUUUUAUUAUUAUUAUUAUUAUUAUUUCUCAUUUGUUUUAUCAGCAGUUUUUAAUGUCCGUAGCGGCACCUAACUUAAUUCAGUGGUUUCAUUUUUUUUUUCUGUAUCGUGUUGACAUUGUACAAAGUGGUUGGAUAAAAAAAAAAAAAACAUGGAUGAAUGAAUGAAAGAAAAAACAAACAAAAAAUACAUGUAGGGAGUCAUCGGCAGCCUUUAACGGUAUGUUUUGCACUAAGUAUAGAGUGUUCAAGCUUCAUAUUAAAAAAAAAACUUUGCGCUUUGCGCUACAAUACAAUGAAAUUUGUUACUUUAUUUGUAAAAACUUAAUAAAUAAAAGUUGUUUAAAUGAAUUUGCAGUGACUGGACUUUAAAUCAACAUGAAGAUAGGAAUGAGAUUAAAUCAUGUCUCUCUGCUGUUUAUGUUUUAACAUCUAAUACGUUAUCUUUUUAACAGGCCGCUGGGUCACGAUGAACCACAACAGAUGGACAGACAGUGUAGGGCUUGGUAUUCAGCCUACUGUGAAUCAUGUCCAAAUGCAGCGUUUACAGAUUCAUUGAAGAUCAGUGAGAUAAAAUGUGACAACCGUCAGGAAACCACCAACAUUGAGGCUCCUGUUUAGCUGAGUGGAUUUUGGGAGUUCCCCUUCAGCGUGGCCUGAGGACAAGAAUGACCCUGCUUACACCAGAAGCUGCCCUUGAAUGAAGCAUUAAACCUUUAGCUGCUGCUGGACUGUGACCAGUGUGGACCAAGAUGCUGACUUGUGAUCUGGGUAAAUACAGACUGGAGGAGAUGGAGUGUGGCUGAACACAAACAAACACUGUGUAUCUCUAUACAGACCAUUAGUCCUGCAGCCAAAAGGUCGCCAGUAACAGACACUUUGUCCUGCCCUUGAGCAAGGCGCCGCAUCUCUACCUGCUCCCUCAGUGGAAGACGAGCUCGCAGCAGCUCACACGGUGUCCAUGAGGACAGGAGCACAGGUCCAGGUCUUCCUCCACAUAUCGGAUCGUUUCCAGGAGGAAGGUGCGCAUCUCU